rnacentral:rRNA from 1 species
ACACAUGCAAGUCGAGCGGUAGCACAGAGAGCUUGCUCUCGGGUGACGAGCGGCGGACGGGUGAGUAAUGUCUGGGAAACUGCCUGAUGGAGGGGGAUAACUACUGGAAACGGUAGCUAAUACCGCAUAACGUCGCAAGACCAAAGUGGGGGACCUUCGGGCCUCAUGCCAUCAGAUGUGCCCAGAUGGGAUUAGCUAGUAGGUGGGGUAACGGCUCACCUAGGCGACGAUCCCUAGCUGGUCUGAGAGGAUGACCAGCCACACUGGAACUGAGACACGGUCCAGACUCCUACGGGAGGCAGCAGUGGGGAAUAUUGCACAAUGGGCGCAAGCCUGAUGCAGCCAUGCCGCGUGUGUGAAGAAGGCCUUCGGGUUGUAAAGCACUUUCAGCGGGGAGGAAGGCGAUAAGGUUAAUAACCUUGUCGAUUGACGUUACCCGCAGAAGAAGCACCGGCUAACUCCGUGCCAGCAGCCGCGGUAAUACGGAGGGUGCAAGCGUUAAUCGGAAUUACUGGGCGUAAAGCGCACGCAGGCGGUCUGUCAAGUCGGAUGUGAAAUCCCCGGGCUCAACCUGGGAACUGCAUUCGAAACUGGCAGGCUAGAGUCUUGUAGAGGGGGGUAGAAUUCCAGGUGUAGCGGUGAAAUGCGUAGAGAUCUGGAGGAAUACCGGUGGCGAAGGCGGCCCCCUGGACAAAGACUGACGCUCAGGUGCGAAAGCGUGGGGAGCAAACAGGAUUAGAUACCCUGGUAGUCCACGCCGUAAACGAUGUCGAUUUGGAGGUUGUGCCCUUGAGGCGUGGCUUCCGGAGCUAACGCGUUAAAUCGACCGCCUGGGGAGUACGGCCGCAAGGUUAAAACUCAAAUGAAUUGACGGGGGCCCGCACAAGCGGUGGGAGCAUGUGGUUUAAUUCGAUGCAACGCGAAGAACCUUACCUGGUCUUGACAUCCACAGAACUUGCCAGAGAUGGCUU